CCUACGGGAGGCAGCAGUCGAGAAUAAUUCACAAUGGGGGAAACCCUGAUGGUGCGACGCCGCGUGGGGGAAUGAAGGUCUUCGGAUUGAAAACCCCUGUAAUGUGGGAGAAAAUUAAAAAGAUAGAACAACAAGAGGUAGACAGGGCUAACUCUGUGCCAGCAGCCGCGGUAAUACAGAGGUCGCAAGCGUUGUUCGGAGUUCCUGGGCGUAAGGCGUUCGUAGGCUGUUUCGUAAGUCAUUGGUGAAAGGCCCGGGCUCAACCCGGGAACUGCACCUGAUAUUGGGAGACUAGAGUAAUGGAGGGGGAAGCGGAAUUCGCGGUGUAGCAGUGAAAUGCGUAGAUAUCGAGAGGAACACU
rnacentral:rRNA from 1 species